GAUGAACGCUGGCGGCGUGCCUAAUACAUGCAAGUCGAGCGAACAGAUGAGGAGCUUGCUCCUCUGACGUUAGCGGCGGACGGGUGAGUAACGCGUGGAUAACCUACCUAUAAGACUGGGAUAACUUCGGGAAACCGGAGCUAAUACCGGAUAAUAUAUUGAACCGCAUGGUUCAAUAGUGAAAGACGGUUUUGCUGUCACUUAUAGAUGGAUCCGCGCCGCAUUAGCUAGUUGGUAAGGUAACGGCUUACCAAGGCAACGAUGCGUAGCCGACCUGAGAGGGUGAUCGGCCACACUGGAACUGAGACACGGUCCAGACUCCUACGGGAGGCAGCAGUAGGGAAUCUUCCGCAAAGGGCGAAAGCCUGACGGAGCAACGCCGCGUGAGUGAUGAAGGUCUUCGGAUCGUAAAACUCUGUUAUUAGGGAAGAACAAAUGUGUAAGUAACUAUGCACGUCUUGACGGUACCUAAUCAGAAAGCCACGGCUAACUACGUG
rnacentral:rRNA from 1 species